AAUAACACACCUCGUUUAUUCAGUUCCUUCUACGAUAAAUUGUAUCACAUCUUGAAAAACUCUACAUAAAUAAAAGCGAACAUAUAUAUUGAAGACAUGUCAAUGUUUCUUUUUUGAAAGGAAAUUUAUUUUAAGUAUAAACAAUAACAUUUUCAUUAACAAGCCUUAUUGUGUCGGUCCGACAAAAAAAAUAGUGCAUUUUAAACCGCCGAAGAAUGAAAGUGUAUUUCGUCACUUCUCAUAUUCCUAUAUGUGUAUAUAUGCCUUGUCGAUUUUUAAAAUUUUUCAAACUAAUUGCAUAAAAUACUGGUUAAUUUUUCUGUGCCAAGUUCGUUGGGGUUUAUACAAAUGACAUAUUAGGCCUAACAUAGAGAUCGAACUACUUUUUCAUAUUCAUACGCACCAUGCUACUUUGUUUUGUAAACAAAAACACGCAAAAUCGGCAGCACAACAGUGACUUCAAAGGAAAUUGACGGGACUGUGGAGGCUUACCAGGAAAUUUUUAGAAGAAGUAUAAACCACAAGGGCCAGAGCAUAAAGGUUCCUGGGAGGAUUUGUUUACGAAACCUUUUUCACUGCUUCUGGAGGUUUGUUGGUUGUUAAUUUCUCUUACCGGAGAAAUUUAACUCCAUCACUACCAUGUUGGGGGUUCCCUAAUGCCAGAUGACAUCUCCAGGACAGCAAAGAGAGGUAUACACCACAGAGGCAGAGCAUAAAGGAUGGCUGGGAGAUUUGAUAAACUUACUGUUGUAGGAGAACAAUUUCAAGCAUUGAUAUAUAUUAGAAAAUUGUGCUGUCAGUCUUUUGUAUGUUGGAGGACAAGCUUCCCCUUGAAAACUGGAACAAAUGUGAAAUGAAGAAUGUGUAUCUUCAUAUUGAGAACUUUUCCAUGUAAAUUACCUCUGGGAAAAAGUUUAUUUCAUAUCAAUUUAUUGUGUUCAUUAUCUGGUUUAAUUUUAUAUUUGUAAUUGUUUUAAAAUUGCAUGGCGCAAAACAUUUUUGCUCACCUGAGUCAAAAGCUUAAGUGAGUUUUUUGAUCCGAUUUCUUUCUUGUUA